rnacentral:rRNA from 1 species
UGGGGAAUAUUGCACAAUGGGGGGAAACCCUGAUGCAGCAACGCCGCGUGAAGGAAGACGGUCUUCGGAUUGUAAACUUUUGUUCUUGGUGAAGAAAAUAGACGGUAGCCAAGGAGGAAGCCACGGCUAACUACGUGCCAGCAGCCGCGGUAAUACGUAGGUGGCAAGCGUUGUCCGGAAUUACUGGGUGUAAAGGGAGCGCAGGCGGGAAAUCAAGUUGGAUGUGAAAUGUCGGGGCUUAACCCGGAACUGCAUCCAAAACUGAUAUUCUUGAGUGAAGUAGAGGUAGGCGGAAUUCCGAGUGUAGCGGUGAAAUGCGUAGAU